rnacentral:rRNA from 1 species
GACGAACGCUGGCGGCGUGCUUAACACAUGCAAGUCGAACGGAAAGGCCCUGCUUUUGUGGGGUGCUCGAGUGGCGAACGGGUGAGUAACACGUGAGUAACCUGCCCUUGCCUUUGGGAUAACUUCAGGCAACUGGGGCUAUUACCGGAUAGGAGCUCCUGCUGCAUGGUGGGGGUUGGAAAGUUUCGGUGGUUGGGGAUGGACUCGCGUCUCAUCAGCUUGUUGGUGGGGUAGUGGCUUACCAAGACUUUGACGGGUAGCCGGCCUGAGAGGGUGACCGGCCACAUUGGGACUGAGAUACGGCCCAGACUCCUACGGGAGGCAGAAGUGGGGAAUAUUGCACAAUGGGAGGAAGCCUGAUGCAGCCACGCCGCGUGCGGGAUGACGGCCAUCGGGUUGUAAACCGCUUUCGCCUGAGACGAAGCGUGAGUGACGGUACUGGGUAAAGAAGCACCGGCUAACUACGUG